AAAUAUUCAGACUUCAGUGUCUGCCAAGGGGUGGGUUUGGCCGUGACAGGAAAACAGGAAAAGGCUUAAAAGUUAAUAAAGCUGGAAGAAAACAGCUUUCAUGUUUGCAGGGGCAAUUUCCGGGGCCCCUGCUCCCAGCUACCUCUGGAUCAGAUCAAGGAAGUUUUGUGGUGACGGGGCUGAGCCUCUCCUUGCGUUGGAGCAGCCUGAUUAAGUUUCUGGAAACCGGCAAGAAGCGCAAGGGAGUUUCUGGGAGAUGUUAUUAGAGUGAAUGGACUGUUUUCCUUAGCAACCCCAGGGAGCCGGGUCACAUGCUUGUUACUGGCAUUAAGGACAGGGAGCAAGCUUGCAGAUUCCUCUGUUACUGGACAAUGAUCUAUCAAAGACAGAAUGUGUGCCAACUGGUGUCCUGGGCUCCUGGAGCCUGGUGAGGAAGAAGGCACCCAUCUUCUUGUUCUUGAACCUCUUACAUUUCAAGGGGGAGAUGGAUGAGAGGGGCAGAAAUUAAAAGCAGCGAGAGAAAAGUAACCAAGACACCAUGUCAUUACCUGAUGGUGGUAGCGUGCAUGGCCCUCAGGACUGCAGAGAUCUGGCGAGACCUCGCCGGUGGAGGAGCAGGAACACAUCUUGUCCCCAAGGUGAGGGGCAGGUGCAUCUCAGAAGAAAUGCAGAGUCUUCUCAUCGCUUUUCUGUUCAUUCCGUCCUCCACAAUUGGGCAACUGGUAUCUUUUGGAAAAUAACUGCCUGUCCACAGCGCUGCUUUCAUCGAAGCCACUUCACCAUUGCUCUAAGAUAAAAUUUGCUGUUUGCUGUCAUUGCUGCUGCAGCCACAAGAGAUGGAAGACCAGGCUCCAAUUUCCAGUGGGGUUCUGUAAAACCAGGGCUCAGCGCCUGCACCUGGGAGCUGCAGAAACCGCCAGCUUCUCACCGUCUCUGUCUCUCAUCACUUUGUCCACAGGCUUCAUACAGGGUCAGGGUCCUGUGUGCACACAGGUGGUGCUUAAUAAAUGCUUCUGUGAUCACAGAUGGUCCGGGCAGCUGCAAGCACCUCAUCUUCACACCAUGGCGUCUCCAUGGAGGAAAGUGUGUGUCUCAUUCCCAGAGCCUCAGGAAACAGCCGUGGGCAUCUUCCCAGGGUCCACUGUGUCCACAUUCUGGCCUGAUCCAGUCACCUGGGGAUGCGGCGGGUCUGCAAAGAGCAAAGCUACUUACAAGACACUUAGCGAAGGGUACAGUGGACUGUUCAGGCCGACAGUGCUAGGCUGAGGACCGCUGUGCUGGCAGUCUGUAGCGGGGGGAGAGAUUGGCUUACUUCCUGGGUGACAAGGAAAAGCGGGGUUUUACAGAGGAACAGCAGGGCAGGGUGGGAGUGGAUGCAAAAGCACCAAGAGGAAGGAAGUAUCACAGUGAGGGGGCUGCGGGCUGAGCAGACCCAGCAGGAUUCUUGCUGAAGACAAACGGGAGAUGAGAUGUCCAACCUGGGCAACCGUGGGAGCUGAGGAAUCUGCCCAGAUGUGAGGGUGGGGGAUCCUGCUAGACCAGCUGAGUAGGGUUCUUGCCAAAAUUGGGCUGUUCGGUAGCACACUCCUAUAAUCCCAGCACUCGGGAGGCUGAGGCAGGAAGAUUGUUGUGAGUUCGAGGCCAGCCUGGGCUACAAAGUGAGCUCAAGGCCAGCCUGAACUGCAUAGCAAGACCCUGCCUCAAAAGACAAUAAAUAGAUAAAUAAAAUAAAAUACAGUUGGGCUCUUGAGGGUAUGCCAAAAAGGGGGUGGAGUUGACAAAAAGCCCAGAGCAGCCAGAUUGGGGUUUGAUCAACAAAAAGUGUUUCUGUCAGGUCAGUAAUCAGGGAGUGCUGGGUAAGCAGGGAGAGGCCAUUUGGCCUCCUUUCUGCCCCGUGUCAGAGUCACAUCCUCUGCUUCAAGACCAGCUGCUUCAGAAACUUGAGCAGAACAGCCACUGGCAUUCCCUCCUGUAACCUAGCAGGGAUGCAACGCCCCACCCCGCCGGCCCCCACCUUAGCAUAAGGAUGACGUGUAUCCUGUAUCACUGGCCCCAAGAAGUCAAAGAAGGCAUGGUCCUGUUCUCCCCAGCAUUCCCUCCCCUUGCUCUUUGGUCCAAGCCACUUCCUCCUUCCAGCACACACCCUUCUUUUAAAAAACAGCACAGUCCUUGCUCCUGUGCGCAGACCUCCCUUUUGCUGUCCCUUUCCACAAUGUAAUUGGACCCAGAUAAACUCUCGUCUUUUCUUAUUCUUCUCUUAGUAAAUUCUCUCACCACUGUAUCACCAGCCUCUGUGAUGUCAUCUUCGUGGCAGUCCCCCAAACCAGGGAUAGUGUCUUGGUUACUUUUCUCUCAUUGCUGAGACAAAAUACCUGAUGCCCAAAAUUAAGGAAGGAAAGGUUUAUUUAGCUCAGUGUGUGGAGGUUUCAGUC
rnacentral:lncRNA from 1 species